CCUGAGUGAUGGGAAAAGAGAAAGAACACACACACAAGGUACGGUGUGCAUGUGAACGCCUGAAAGACAUCUGGAUCAUUCUCCACUUUGUUCGUGCUGGAAUUAGAAGUGUGCUACCAUAUCUGCCCAGUGUUGAGGAUUUUAAUUCUGAUCAUGGCUGCUCUGGUAAGAGACCACAUCCAAAGAUCUUCUUGGUCUGUGUGAUCCAGCUGGAAUAUAGACACACCUUUAA